GAGGGCACGACUUUGAGGAGCGCGGGCGGAGGGGCGUUAGCGAUCUGCCUCUGCCGCCAUCUUAGAGAAGGCGAGCGCGGGGUGCGCGUGGGCAGCGAGCCGGCCUCCCGCGGUCCCUGCCGCAGCGUGGCGCGGAGAGGGGCAUGGAUGAACCUGGACACCAUCAUCCUCAGCGAACUGACACAAGAACAGAGAAUCAAACACCGCAUGUUCUCACUCAGAAUGAGCCAAAAGAAACAGGGAAGCAGUAGUCUUAGAGGAGAGGCAUCCAGUAGUUCAUGGUUACAGUGAACUGCUAUCGUGCCGCUGUAUUCUACUCUGGGUGACAGAGUGAUUCCCUGUGCCACAGAGUGAGACCCUGUCACAAAAAAAGGGGGGGGCUAUGAAAUCCAAGAGAUGGAGUUUUGCUCUUGUUACUCAGGCUGGAGUGCAAUGGCACGAUCUCGGCUCACCACAACCUCCGCCUCCUGGGUUCAGUCAAUUCUCCUGCCUCAGCCUCCUGAGUAGCUGGGAUUACAGGCACGUGCCACCAUGCCCAGCUAAUUUUUUGUAUUUUUAGUAGAGACAGGGUUUCACCAUGUUAGCCAGAAUGGUCUCGAUCUCUUGACCUCGUGAUCCACCUGCCUCGGCCUCCCAAAGUGCUGGGAUUACAGGCUCGAGCCACUGUGCCCAGCCAAAAAAGAUAUGUUUUCUUAAGUAGAUGAUAUCUUUAUUGAAAUAAUAUUUACAGUUUUAGGUAUUUAGUUCAAAGGUAAAAUCCAGUCUACCCUUGGGCCAAAUUGUCAUGAACUUCAAGCUGGUAGCAUAUAAAUUACUCUUACUACUAUCAACAUGACCAGUUGCUAUCCAAAUUUAUUAAUAUGAAAUCAACAAAGUAGAUAAAUUUGAGAAAUUAGCAAACACUUUUACAGUAAAUAAUAUUAAAGUUAGUUGGUAAAAAAAAAAGUUAAAUGUGCAAACAAAAGUUAACUUUUAUAUUCAAAGUCAUUAAGAAAGCCAGAAGAGGAAAUGCUUCUAUAAUUUUUUUUUUGAGUCUCUGUCGCCCAGGCUGAAGUGCAGUAGCAAUCUCCUCCUCCCAGGUUGAAGUAAUUCUCCUGCCUCAGCCUCUAAGAUUGCAGGCGCAGGCCACCAUGCCCAGCCAAUUUUUGUGUUUUUGUUUGGUAGAAACAGGGUUUCACCAUGUUGGCCAGGCUGGUCUGGAAUUCCUGACCUAAAGUGAUCUACCUACCUCAGCCUCCCAAAAUGCUGGGAUUAUAGGUGAAAGCCACCGUGCCCAGCCAUUUUUGUUGUUGUUAUUUUUAUAAUUUCCUACAGAAAAAAAGCAAAAUCAAAAACUAUAAAGAAAAAAUGUCUUCAAAUUAAGGAGUUUCACAUGUUAGGGUGGUCCCAAAAUACAGUAACAUCAAAACUACAUGGUUACGGGAGAAAACAUGUAUGAGCAGAAUCACAGAAAAAUUACCUCCUGAAAUAUUAGAACAGGAGGUUCCUUAAAAAGCUCAAGUUUCUUAAGAAUUAGAACAAGUUCUUCACUUUCCAAAUAAUUUUUGGUACUGAAAGCUCCCAAUAACACUAAACACUGUCUAAAAAUAUUUCGGGAAAGUCAUGUAAACUCUUUUUCAUGUCAUCUGAAAGUUCUUUUGUAACACUGCUGACACAAUUCAAAUGAGUGAAAAAAAUGUAUAUUCCCUGAGGCAUUUGGGUGAUUGGAAAGAAAGUAUUUUCUAAUGAAUUAUACACUGAACUUGAAUAGAAUUAGCUGAUCAUUUUAAAGCUUAAACCAUAUCCAUCUGGCUUUUAAAGACACUACUAGUAGCAGAACCAACUUAGAAAACAAGAGACAUUCAAAUCUACACAGAUUUCUAGUUAAACAAUAAUUGUUCCUUUGUCUUUUAUAAAUCACCAAAAAAAAUAAUGCUGUUAAUUAAUGGUGACUCAUGCUCCAGUGAUCUAUUCAUAUUCUCUGGCAUGUUGCUCUGGAGGUGGUAAGCAGCAAAGUGUUGAUAACUAUAUUGACUCAGCUUGGAAGGGGAUUAAGAAUCUCAGUAUGACAACAAAUAUGUAUUCUCUUGUUAUAGAAACAUUUCACUCUUCCGUUCAAAAUUUACAGUGGCUUUCUUAGUCCUUGUAUAAUAGCCAAGCUCCUCUGCCUAAUCUGUCGGGGCUAUUGUCAAUUCAUACCUAAUUCAUCUCAAUUUAUUUUCUCAGACUCAACUCUUUUUUUUUUUCUUUGCACAUAUCUCCUUUGUACCACUGAAGUUCUUCCAAUCUCUUCCAUAUGUGUCCACUCUGUUGUUUAAACGUGACUCAAAAAAUCAACUGUAAUUUUUGCAUGAGAGGAGGAUGAUAGUCAGAAGCAGUAAAAGGACCUAUAAGUUUCAGUUAAUAACCUUUUAUGGUGUUUGUGGAAGGCAAUGCUAAUUGCCUACUCCAAAUCUAUUUUCCUUUCAUCCCUAAUAGCAGGAUUCCAAUUUUGUUAGGGUAGCAGUGUGUGCUUUUCUAAAAAUACUUCUCCAGGCUCCCUUGCUGUUUGAGGGUGGCCAUGUGUCACGAUCCUGGACAAUGAGGCAUAACUUAAGGGUUUAUUGAAAAGCUAUUGUUUUCCUCGUAAGAGCUCCUUCCUGCUUCCUUCUCCCUUCCACUUCCCAGCUGGAAUGCUGAUGCAGUACUACCUGGAGACAGAGUGGCCUCUUGCCAUCUUGAUAUGAAAAUCCUGAGGACAAAGACCUACACACUAAGGAUGAUAGAGUGAUAAAAUGGAAUGGAAAAUAGGUCCCUAAUGUUAUCAUUGAGCUGUCAUAGAUGGCCCUAUUCUACCUACUUCCCCACCCCACCUCUACCCCUGCCUGGUCUUAUUGUGUGAAGCAAAUAAAUAUCUCUCUCUUUACGUUAUUCACAGGGUUUUUCUGCUCAUGUGGACAAGCACAUUCUAAACUAAUGCAACUUUUAUAACUUUUUUGACCAUAAGAAUGCAUCACUUUUAUAGUAAUGAAAUAAUUAAGUGUUUUAAGUGAAAAGAACAUGCACAAGAACCCAAGCUUUGGAAUCAGACAAGACUAAAUUAGAAUCCAGACUUUUCCUGCAUACUAAUUGACUCUUGGCAACUUAAUAUCUGCGAGUCUCAACUUCCUCAUCUGUAAAAGAGGAAUAAACAAAUAAAUAAUAAUAUGUAACAUAGAAUACAUAGGGUUGUUAUAAGGCACAUAAUGAGCCCUCAAUAAAGUAUAGCUAUUAUUAUUACUACCAAUUAUUCCAACACACACACAGACACACAUAUACUCUUCUCUGUAUUCCUAAUACACUACUACAUAUGGAGCAUUAUAUAAGAAGAGAAUGUUACAUACAUCAAGUAUCUCUGGAGGUCAGAAUAGUUGGUUUCUGAUCCUUCAUUUUCAGUUUCUGUGACAUUGAGAAAGGUAUUAUAUCUCUUGGCUUCAAAGUCCUCAUCUGAAACGUGUGGGACAAAAUUUGCAACAAAUCAUUUUCAGUUUUAAAAUUCUGUGAGUAUUAAAAAAGGAAGUGAUUAUCAAACCUUUAAAAUAGUUCUCCAAAGAGGAUAGGAAAAGAGUUAUGAUCAAAGAACCACAUAUGGGGUAGGGAUGAGGAUGGUGGAAAUGUUCUAUUUAUUUACUUGGUUGGUGGUUACAGUUAUUUGCUUUAUGAUUAUUCAAUAAACUGUACUGUAUUAGGGUUCUCCAGAGGGAUAGAACUAGUAGGAUGUAUGUGUAUAUGAAAGGCAGUUUAUUAGGGAGAAUUGGCUCACAGGAUCACAAGGUGAAGUCCCACGAUAGGCCAUCUGCAGGCUGAGGAAGAAAGAAGCCAGUAGUGGCUCAGUCCAAAGCAGGGAAGGCAACAGUGCAGUCUUCCGUCUGUGGCCAAAGGUCUGAGAGCCCCCAGCAAAGAACUGUUGUAACUCCAAGAGUCUCUAAAGGCCAAAGAACCUGGAGUCUAAUGUCCAAGGGCAGAAGGAAUGGAAGGAAGCAUGCAGCAUGGGAAAAAGAUGGAAAGCCAGAAUACUCAGCAAGCCGGCUUAUUCCCACUUUCUUCCUCCUGCUUUGUGCUAUCCAUGCUGACAGCCGAUUGAGUGGUGCCCAUCCACAUUGAGGACGGACCUUCCUCUCCCAGUCCACUGACUCAAAUGGCAGUCUCCUCUGGAAACACCCCCACAGACACAGCUAUCUAGGCAUCCUUCAAUCCAAUCAAGAUGACACCUAAUAUUAACCAUCACAUGUACCCAUAUAUUUUGUGUACUUCUUAUAUGUAUCUUACAUUUCACAAUUUCAGAAAAUCCUCCAAAGUUUAUAAUUAUGUUUAUAGGCAUAAUAACUUGCUCUACGUUAUGUUAUGAAGAUUUUUCUACUUCUAUAAUGAGGAAUAAGAUUUGUAUAAUAAUACAAUUCACUAUAUAUCCUCCUUAUUGACAGGAUAGCUCUUUUCACUGUUGUCUUACACCUUUAUCUCUUAGUAGAAGAGGUUGGAACUGGGGCAAAUAUCUCCCGAGGAAGGAGGAGGAUGUGACGUAAGAGUCCCCGUGUCAGCCUCAUCCAUGCUCUGUCCAUGCUGGGUUACGAUAACUCUUCUACUGCCACAUCUUCUGCUUUGAGGGUGUUCUCCUCUGCUGACCAAUGGAUGAGAAAAAAAGAAAACAGCUCAUGUUGCCUUUUGCCUCAUCAGAAAUGCAUUCAUCUGCCUAAUAUCUCCCCAUCCUGUCAGGCCACAAAUGGUGAGUCCUGCUAUCUCUGAUGAGUUACUGGCAUUGAGUUUCUGUUUGAAGAAAUCUUUAAGAAGAUUAUAUCCUGGAACUGAUCCAGGAUAUCACCUCCUGGCUUAAAAUAUUUGAAAACUCCCUUCUAAGUUGUGAAUCCAUUUACUUACCAAUAUUUGUUGAGCCCACCUAUUCAUAAGGCAACAUGCUAGAUACCACAGUGGAUGUAAAAAGUCAUUAGUUUCCUGAAUGGUUCUUAACAAUCUAUUGGAAAGGUGAGGUAUACACAAUGUUAUGGGGAUUUUUCUCUAUAUCAGGGGCUGGCAAGCUACAGGCCAUGUUUUGGCUCAUGGCCUAUUUUUAUAUGGCUCAAGAGCUAAAAUAGGUUUUUAUAUUUUUAAAGGGUUAUAAAAAAUAAAAUAAAACAAAGAACAUGUGACAUAGACUAUAAGUGAAACACACAUAGCCUGAGAUAUUUACCAUCUGGCCCUUUGCAGAAUAAGGUUGCCUAUCUCUGCCCUACACAGUUCUGGAUGUAACUAACAAGAUGCAGUUCAUUCCCAAAAGCAAAUAUUGGAGAAUAUUCAGUUCAGUUAACAUGAUCCCCAUAUAAACACACAUAGCCCAACACUCUCCAUGAUGGAUUUCUAGCAGUCACAUAUGUUUCUCUGUAUCUUGAGAGAGAAUUUAUUCUGCCUUAAUGAUGUCUCCCAUUGCUGGCUUGUGCAGAGGGACAAUUGCAGCAAAAUGGUCAUAGAAUCCUUAGCCAGUAGUAGUGUCUAAAGCAUAGAAGCUGGAUGAAGUUGUGGUCUUCAGUGUUUGAGAAAGGGGACAUCCCUAGCAUGACGCCUCUCCUGUGCAUCCUGCUAAGCAGGAGACCAAAGGAUUGGAGCUCUUAGUCGUCAGCUCUCAUUUGCUAUAUCAGCCAUCUUCCAGGUGCUAGGUUCCAGUACCUUUUCCACCACAGAAUUUCUGCUGUCUUGCCCAGGAGUGCGAUUCUCCCUGAAAAUGUGGGAAGCCUUCUAUUUAUACCCACAGUCCUAUAUUCACAUCUUUUCAUCUAAAUCUAGUUGACUAAAGAAUGUUGGCUUACAGUGGGCUCUAAAUUCAAAACCAUUACUUAAUCCUUAAAAUUCAGAAGAUGUCAUGUAAUGCACAAAAGAUCUUCAUGAAGAUCUUCCAGAGCCCUAAUCUGGUACUACCAGUUAAUAAUUCCAUGGACUCUACAAAUAACCAUUUUAUCAUUCAACUCCUGUUACCUCCUAGACUCUGAGGCUGAGUGUCCAGUGCCACAGAUCAUCUUAAUGGGGUUUGUCUCACUUGUUUAUAGUUACCUCCUUGGCCUCUAUGAAUAUUCGAGUUUGUAACUCCAGUUUUAAAUCCUUAAAAUUCAAAAGAUCUACUUCAUACCCCUUAGGAUGGCUAUUGUCAAACAAACAAACAAACAAAAAACACAGAACACAUGUUGGCAAGGAUGGAAAAAUUGCAAACCUUGUGCACUGCUAGUGGGAAUGUAAAAUGGUGCAGCCUAGCCACUAUGGAGACAAUUUGGCGGUUCCUCAAAAAAUUAAAAAUAGAAUUACCAUAUGAUCCAUCAAUUGCACUUCUGGCUAUAUAUCAAAAAGAAUUAAAAGCAAGAACUUGAGCAGAUAUUUGUACACUCAUGUUUAUAACAGCAUUAUUUACAGCAGCUAACGUUGAGAGCAACCCAAGGGUCCACUGACAGAU